rnacentral:tRNA from 1 species
GGGCUAUCAGUUUAAUUAUAGAGCAGUGGACUCUUAAUCCAUCGGUCGCAGGUUCGAGUCCUGCAUAGCCCGCCA